rnacentral:rRNA from 1 species
GAUGAACGCUGGCGGUAUGCUUAACACAUGCAAGUCGAACGGAAUCUUCGGAUUUAGUGGCGGACGGGUGAGUAACGCGUGAGAAUCUAGCUUCAGGUUUGGGACAACCACUGGAAACGGUGGCUAAUACCGAAUGUGCCGAGAGGUGAAAGGCUUGCUGCCUGAAGAUGAGCUCGCGUCUGAUUAGCUAGUAGGUGGGGUAAAAGCCUACCUAGGCGACGAUCAGUAGCUGGUCUGAGAGGAUGAUCAGCCACACUGGGACUGAGACACGGCCCAGACUCCUACGGGAGGCAGCAGUGGGGAAUUUUCCGCAAUGGGCGAAAGCCUGACGGAGCAAUACCGCGUGAGGGAGGAAGGCUCUUGGGUUGUAAACCUCUUUUCUCAGGGAAGAACACAAUGACGGUACCUGAGGAAUCAGCAUCGGCUAACUCCGUGCCAGCAGCCGCGGUAAUACGGAGGAUGCAAGCGUUAUCCGGAAUGAUUGGGCGUAAAGCGUCCGCAGGUGGCUGUGUAAGUCUGCUGUCAAAGAGCGAAGCUCAACUUCGUAAAGGCAGUGGAAACUACACGGCUAGAGUGCGUUCGGGGCAGAGGGAAUUCCUGGUGUAGCGGUGAAAUGCGUAGAGAUCAGGAAGAACACCGGUGGCGAAGGCGCUCUGCUAGGCCGCAACUGACACUGAGGGACGAAAGCUAGGGGAGCGAAUGGGAUUAGAUACCCCAGUAGUCCUAGCUGUAAACGAUGGAUACUAGGCGUGGCUUGUAUCGACCCGAGCCGUGCCGUAGCUAACGCGUUAAGUAUCCCGCCUGGGGAGUACGCACGCAAGUGUGAAACUCAAAGGAAUUGACGGGGGCCCGCACAAGCGGUGGAGUAUGUGGUUUAAUUCGAUGCAACGCGAAGAACCUUACCAAGGCUUGACAUGUCGCGAAUCUUCUUGAAAGGGGAGAGUGCCUUCGGGAGCGCGAACACAGGUGGUGCAUGGCUGUCGUCAGCUCGUGUCGUGAGAUGUUGGGUUAAGUCCCGCAACGAGCGCAACCCUCGUUUUUAGUUGCCAGCAUUAAGUUGGGCACUCUAGAGAGACUGCCGGUGACAAACCGGAGGAAGGUGGGGAUGACGUCAAGUCAGCAUGCCCCUUACGCCUUGGGCUACACACGUACUACAAUGCUACGGACAGAGGGCAGCAAGCUAGCGAUAGCAAGCUAAUCCCAUAAACCGUGGCUCAGUUCAGAUCGAAGGCUGCAACUCGCCUUCGUGAAGGAGGAAUCGCUAGUAAUUGCAGGUCAGCAUACUGCAGUGAAUUCGUUCCCGGGCCUUGUACACACCGCCCGUCACACCAUGGAAGCUGGCAACGCCCGAAGUCAUUACUCCAACUUUUCGGAGAGGAGGAUGCCUAAGGCAGUGCUGGUGACUGGGGUGAAGUCGUAACAAGGUAGCCGUACCGGAAGGUGUGGCUGGAUCACCUCCUUU